CUGUGCGGCCGCCUCGCCUCCCCGACCCGCGCCUCGAAGCCUCGACGCCCUCCUGCCCCCUCGGCCAGCCAGCCCUGCGUUUGGGACUGUGCUGGCUGGUGACUUAACCCUGGGAGAUGCCGCUGGCAGAAGCAGCUCUGCAGGUCUCCUGGCAAGACCUGUCCCAGUUCCCAUGAGCAGCACUAUGGGUAUGGAUGCUUCCGACUUCCUGCUACCAAUGGAACCAUCCUGUUCAGCUCCAGGCAAGGUAGAAAGCAGUCAGUCUGCACUCUGAGAUAGAGAAAGAAAAAUCACCAUAGGAGAGCAGACAAUGCUCCCUGCAUGGACACACGCUCUGGUUCAAGCGGCUCUUCUUCAUCUGCAGUGAACUAUGCUGGUAGAAGCUGUGCAGCCAGGAGCAAGCAGCAGAGCAUCUGUACACCACUUGGGGAGCAAAACCAACAGGCAUUUUCUCCUCCAGACAUUCACACCUUUCCUUAUGUAACUGGUGCUGAAGUGUGUGCUUUAAAAGCUGCUUGCCAAAUCCAGGGGCUGGGAGGCAGCAGAAAUGCUUCUAGCACUCUAGAUGAAAUUGAGGGGGGAAAAGAAAACCCAAACACCCAGGAAUUCGUACAAAUACAUAACUGCAACUUGAGGAUGG